rnacentral:rRNA from 1 species
GGAGGUGCAUGGCCGUCGUCAGUUCGUACUGUGAAGCAUCCUGUUAAGUCAGGCAACGAGCGAGACCCACGCCAACAGUUGCCAGCUCGUCCUCCGGGAUGGUGGGGACACUGUUGGGACCGCCUCUGCUAAAGAGGAGGAAGGAAUGGGCAACGGUAGGUCAGCAUGCCCCGAAUUAUCUGGGCUACACGCGGGCUACAAUGGGUGGGACAAUGGGUAUCGACACCGAAAGGUGAAGGCAAUCUCCUAAACCCAUCCGUAGUUCGGAUUGUGGGCUGCAACUCGCCCACAUGAAGCUGGAAUCUGUAGUAAUCGUGUCUCAAAAUGGCACGGUGAAUAUGUCCCUGCUCCUU